ACUCUCUCACACACACACACUAUCACUCUCUCUAGAUCUUUCUCUUUCUCUCUCACACACACAAUAUAACAAUUCAACUAGUAGUAGUAUUACAUGCAUGUAGAGCUAGCUAGUUUGCAAUUUUGAAUUGUCUCCCUCACACGCACUUACAAGAAGUUGCUAGUAUUGAAGCAAAUCAAGUGGUGUGAUCAAAAGGCGAUUUCGUCGCCUUGGCUGCCCCACACUCCGGCCCGACAUCAUGUGAGGGGGUUCAAUCAGGGUACGCAGUAGCCCGUUAAGGGGGAGGCCUUAACCCACUAGCUGCCAGAAGCCCAUCUCCCAAGGCCUCACACUUGUGUACUAUUUCUCUAAUUGGGCUAAAAGGAUGAAUCACGUGCCACAAGGGCUCCCCACAUUCCGACCCGACAAGACAUCUGAAAGGAUGUAAAUCAGGUUCUCAGCGGCCCACUCAAGGGGAGGUUAGUUGCCCACGAACCUUAGCCCACCCUCAAGGCUCAUAAUGGGCACGUGAAAUGUUACUCCAAACCUACAGGCUCGGGGACCAUGAAUAGCUGGUUACAUGAAGGAAAUGAACCAAGUUUACUUCAGCCUCAAAAUCAGGGGUAAAUAGUAUUACUUCAAAUUUCAAAUUGUACUAAAUUCUAUCAUGUUUCGGUUUUUAAAAUGUCGAUGUGGCUCGUUUGAUGCCAAUGUGUAGCAGAGUUGGAAAAUGGAUGCUUAUCGCUUUUGGCCAAAAUAUGAUUGUUUGGGGAGUAUUUAAACAAGGACAAUUGGUCAAUAAAGUCAUCAACUUGGGGCUAAAA